rnacentral:rRNA from 1 species
UACGGAGGGGGCGAGCGUUAUUCGGAAUUAUUGGGCGUAAAGGGCAGGUAGGCGGCCUCAUAUGUCCCUUGUGAAAGCCCUCGGCUCAACCGAGGAACUGCAGGGGAAACUGUGGGGCUUGAGUCCGGGAGAGGGUAGCGGAAUUCCCAGUGUAGCGGUGAAAUGCGUAGAUAUUGGGAGGAACACCAGUGGCGAAGGCGGCUACCUGGACCGGUACUGACGCUCAGCUGCGAAAGCUAGGGGAGCAAACGGG